CCUACGGGUGGCUGCAGUGGGGAAUUUUCCGCAAUGGGCGAAAGCCUGACGGAGCAAUACCGCGUGAGGGAUGACGGCCUAUGGGUUGUAAACCUCUUUUUUCAGGGAGGAAAAAAAUGACGUUACCUGAAGAAUAAGCAUCGGCUAACUCCGUGCCAGCAGCCGCGGUAAGACGGGGGAUGCAAGUGUUAUCCGGAAUCACUGGGCGUAAAGCGUCUGUAGGUGGUUUAAUAAGUCAACUGUUAAAUCUUGAGGCUCAACCUCAAAACCGCAGUCGAAACUAUUAGACUAGAGUAUAGUAGGGGUAAAGGGAAUUUCCAGUGGAGCGGUGAAAUGCGUAGAGAUUGGAAAGAACACCGAUGGCGAAGGCACUUUACUGGGCUAUUACUAACACUGAGAGACGAAAGCUAGGGUAGCAAAUGGGAUUAGAUACCCCGGUAGUC
rnacentral:rRNA from 1 species